rnacentral:rRNA from 1 species
UACGUAGGGACCAAGCGUUGUUCGGAUUUACUGGGCGUAAAGGGCGCGUAGGCGGCGUGGUAAGUCACUUGUGAAAUCUCCGAGCUUAACUCGGAACUGCCAAGUGAUACUGCUGUGCUAGAGUGCAGAAGGGGCAACCGGAAUUCUUGGUGUAGCGGUGAAAUGCGUAGAUAUCUGGAGGAACACCGGUGGCGAAGGCGGCAUCCUGGACCGGCAUUGACGCUGAGGCGCGAAAGCCAGGGGAGCAAACGGG